AUUGAACGCUGGCGGCAGGCCUAACACAUGCAAGUCGAGCGAGCGGCGGACGGGUGAGUAAUGUCUGGGGAUCUGCCUGAUGGCGGGGGAUAACUACUGGAAACGGUAGCUAAUACCGCAUACCAUCAGCUGAACCCAGAUGGGAUUAGCUUGUAGGUGGGGUAACGGCUCACCUAGGCGACGCUCCCUAGCUGGUCUGAGAGGAUGAUCAGCCACACUGGAACUGAGACACGGCCCAGACUCCUACGGGAGGCAGAAGUGGGGAAUAUUGCACAAUGGGCGCAAGCCUGAUGCAGCCAUGCCGCGUGUAUGAAGAAGGCCUUCGGGUUGUAAAGUACUUUCAGUCGGGAGGCGUUACCGACAGAAGAAGCACCGGCUAACUCCGUGCCAGCAGCCGCGGUAAUAC
rnacentral:rRNA from 1 species